rnacentral:rRNA from 1 species
UGCGAAAGCAGGGGGUGCCCGCAAGGGAGCGCGGAGACAGGUGGUGCAUGGCUGUCGUCAGCUCGUGUCGUGAGAUGUUGGGUUAAGUCCCGCAACGAGCGCAACCCUCACCCCUUGUUGCCACCAGGUCAGGCUGGGCACCCUAGGGGAACUGCCCCGGUCAACGGGGAGGAAGGUGGGGAUGACGUCAAGUCAUCAUGCCCCUUACGCCCUGGGCUACACACGUGCUACAAUGGCCGGUACAAAGGGAUGCCACACCGCGAGGUAGAGCUAAACCCAAAAAGCCGGUCUAAGUUCAGAUUGGAGUCUGCAACUCGACUCCAUGAAGGAGGAAUCGCUAGUAAUCGCGCAUCAGCACGGCGCGGUGAAUACGUUCCCGGGCCUUGUACACACCGCCCGUCACACCACGAAAGCCAG